rnacentral:rRNA from 1 species
AUUGAACGCUGGCGGCAGGCCUAACACAUGCAAGUCGAGCGGAUGUCGGGAGCUUGCUCCUUGAUUCAGCGGCGGACGGGUGAGUAAUGCCUAGGAAUCUGCCUGGUAGUGGGGGACAACGUUUCGAAAGGAACGCUAAUACCGCAUACGUCCUACGGGAGAAAGCAGGGGACCUUCGGGCCUCGCGCUAUCAGAUGAGCCUGGGUCGGAUUAGCUAGUUGGUGAGGUAAUGGCUCACCAAGGCGACGAUCCGUAACUGGUCUGAGAGGAUGAUCAGUCACACUGGAACUGAGACACGGUCCAGACUCCUACGGGAGGCAGCAGUGGGGAAUAUUGGACAAUGGGCGAAAGCCUGAUCCAGCCAUGCCGCGUGUGUGAAGAAGGUCUUCGGAUUGUAAAGCACUUUAAGUUGGGAGGAAGGGCAGUAAGUUAAUACCUUGCUGUUUUGACGUUACCGACAGAAUAAGCACCGGCUAACUCUGUGCCAGCCGCCGCCGUAACAC